CACGCCGUAAACGAUGAAUGCUAGGUGUUGGGGGUCAAACCUCGGUGCCGAAGUUAACACAUUAAGCAUUCCGCCUGGGGAGUACGGUGGCAACACUGAAACUCAAAGGAAUUGACGGGGACCCGCACAAGCGGCGGAGCAUGCGGAUUAAUUCGAUGCAACGCGAAGAACCUUACCAAGGCUUGACAUGCACCGGUACAGUGUAGAGAUAUGCUGGCCUUUUGGGCUGGUGUGCAGGUGG
rnacentral:rRNA from 1 species